GGGGCCAAGGUCAGGAGUUGAGGAUGAGUGGAGGAGCAGGCCUUCCCUUCACCUCCAGACGACUACAGCAUGUUCCCUGCCCUCCCUGUGUCCGGGCGGAUAGCAUACAUGGUUUGAAGCCCUGGGGUACAGAGUCAGGUAGUCCCGGCUUCACAUCCCAUCUUCCCCACCCAGUUCUGAGCAAGUCCCUGAGCCUCUCUGGUCUUCAGUUUCUUGCAGAGAGAUGGAAACAGAAGCACUUCCCCGGCUGCCACGAGGCUGGAUGGAGGCCACACCUGCGGAGUGCUGAGCACAGCCCUUCCGUGAUCGCGAUGAGCACUGCAAAGACCGUGACAACGGCAGCCCUUGCUGCGACACAAGGAGCAUCCCCGCACCUGGCGCCAUCGCACACACGGCAUGCGUUCAAUACAGCCCAGAAGCUUCCAGAGGAAGAUGUCAUGGAGCACCAGCCCCAGACUCUCGUCCAUCCUCAGAAAGCAGGAAGGUUUGAUUCCACAUGCAAGCCUGUUAUCUGUCACCUGGUGUCAAUGUGCCCACCAGCAAGACAGAGCCCAGCUCGGAAAAGGAGAGCAAGUUUGGCAAUAUCCGUGAGGGCCAGGGACUGGGAAGAUCGUGGUAAAUGUGAGCCCUCUGGGCUCCAUCAUUAGGGGCCUCCUUUGGAGACGAGAGAGCAGGCAGAAAACCUGCCCUGUUGAAAACGGGCCUAUGUUUUCUCGAAGAAAUAGUAGCAGCAUAAUGACUCUUGAGUGUGGAUAAAAACGUGUUGCCAGUACUUAGCAAGAGACUAGGCACCUGGUGACGUGGGACGGGUACAUUUGGAUGAGGCACAGCUCAGAAUUGUCCAGAUCACAGGUUGUUUGGGAAGUGGCCUAGUGGGUGUGAGCCCUAAGGGUGACAGCAGAGAGGGGUCCCUGAGUUGCACGUCUCAGUGUGACCCAAGGCAGGCCCACUUUCCUGGGUGGCGUGACCUGCCCUGCCCUCCCCCUCGGUAGCCCGGCCUCACUGGCUUCCCCUCGGCCCAUGUCUCUGCAUUUUUUGUCACUGCUGGGACACAGUUUCCCACCCUUCCCACAUGCUCUGCAGAUGUUGGCACCAGCCUGAGUCCCUGGGCACCUGGCAGAGUCAUUGCACCUGUAAAACUGGAAUUCACAUGCAGAACAGUGGUGUCUGGCCAGGGUCCCUCCCUCCCUCUCCCUGUCCCACGGGUCUGUGAACGCUUAGUACAGACGCACUUCCUGCCUUUGGAAAGCCAGCACCUGGAACAGGGUCAAUAAAUAGCUGCCGAGAUGGGCCCAUUUUAUGGAUGUGGAAAGUGGCGGAGCCGUGUGUUCCUUCUCUCACACUCAAGUGAGAUGUCCAGGGUACUGAUUUAAGGCGGUGCUCACCUUCAGAGACCAACCCUGUGCUGGCACCCCUUGUGAGUGAGUGCCACCUUAAAUAUGAUGCCUUGCUUGUCUGGCCCUUGUCACACCCCAGAGAGGAAGGAGGUGAAGGGCAGAGGGACAGUGGCCAGGCAGCCCUAGCCCAGGGGGCUCUCCACCCCAUUCUGGAGGUACCCAGCUGCCCUAAAAGCCCUGAAGUGAGCUCACUCUGUCCAUCACAUCCAGACACCCAGCUGUGCAGGGAGCAAUCAAGGCAGCCAUUUCCCCCAAUGAGCUUGAGUUUAGAGGACUGGAGGAGCUAUUUGCAGCACUUUAAAAACCUUUUAUAGAUCAGUUUGUUACCAUUGACGACAGUGGAAGAAAUCCUGCUAUUACAGGCAGGAACUCUGAGAGGAUCGGGCAUGGGCUGUUUCUGAUCGGGAAUGCCGUGCUGGUAAUCAAUGCUCCACGUGUCCUUGCAGUGCUGCGUGAGGAAGCCACACACUGGCUUGAGCCUCCCUGCCAUGCAUACCCCUCGUGGCUCGGUGCCCUCCUUGACUGAGAACUUGCGGUGAUUUUUUCGUAUGUAGUCAAGCUAGAGCCCCCAGGCUUCCCGCUCCAGGCUGGCUGCAGCUUGGCAUCAGAUCUGGGUGUCCUGGGGGCAGCACGAGCUGAUCAGGCUGCUUUGCGUCUCACCCUGUUUCCUCCUGUCUUGUUCCCACUCCCUCCUUCCAUGCCUUCGCCCUGCGCCUGCUCUCCCUCAUCUUCUUCCUCCUUCUUUUGUUCUCUCUUCUCCUUGCAUCUCUUUUUCUCCCUUUCCUUCCUUCCUCUUCCUAGAGUCCAAGAAAGUCUAAGGAAAUAAGACGUGUGGGCCCAUAAGGGCUUCUCACCUUGACCGCCCUGGCUCAUGCUAAGAACUGGGCUUCUUCAGACCUGCUGCCUCUGUGGACGGGGCUCUUCUGGAAGAGUCUGUGGGACCCAUGGAUGACAGCAGAGUGAGGCCCACCUGAGACCACGAGGCUCACGUAAUAAUCCUAACUCCACUAAACAGUACGGGUUGGGUGCCAGCGACCUGCCACUGGGUCCCUUUCUUGGAAGGAAGCCAGACACAGCGCCAGGAGACCGUGGUGCAAGAUGGAGGAGGGCGGGGCCCGUGGAGGAGCUGAAGAACGACACCCAGGUCCAGUUGGGUGAACCAAGACGGUUCAGGUGCAGGUGGCCUUGGAGUGGGCCAGGACAGUUGAGUGGGUGAGGAAAUCAUGGGUAUGGCAGUGGUGAGGGGGCAACGGGAGGAGGUGAAAAAGGGAAGUGAAUUUAGACUUGGGUUCGAAUCUUGGCUUCACAGCUUUCUGGCCAUGUGGCCUUGCUCAAGCUGCUUCCACUGCUGGAUCCUGUUUUCUGACGAGUGAAAGGGGGCCUGCCCUGCGAAGGAAUGACACCAGGUGACAUCUGUUGUGUGUUUGCCCCCUGCCUGGCACAUCCUCAGAAUGUGGUUUGUGAUAUCUUUAUGAACUUGCCAACAGAGGCAAUCUGUGCAUACGGCCUCACUGGGCAUGCAGAAAAGCCUAGAAAGGGACUCCCAGAAGCCCGCGCUAAAGAGCACUCACUGUGUGGUGAUGAGCACUUAUAUAUGCCAGACAGCAUUCUACAAGCUGUGGGGGUCCUGCCACUCAGUGCCCAUGACAAGGACUCAGUGGGAACCAUGAUGCCCACGUGGCUGAAGAAGUGGGUGCCCUGGAGGGGAAGCAGCUGCCCAGCAGCUCCCUGAGCCGGCGUCCUCCCGGGCAUCUCAGCUCUAGAGCCAUCUCCUCUCACUGCGGUUCUUCCCUCCCUAUUGAAGGGCUUCAGGGGCCAGAUAAGGGGUUUGGGCUCUAUCCUGGCAGGAGGGGAGAAGGAGUGGCAGCCACUGAAAGUGCCCCAGUCUCAUGACGGUGGCCAGUGGGGCAAAGGGCCUUGGGGGCUGUGGAGCAGCCACUAUUGUUCCUGUUUCUGGGAACUUCUCUCUCUCUCUCCAGCCUCAUCACUGGGGAGCAUCCUGUCUAGGGUUUCUGGAAGGCUCUCUUCUCCCUUCCUUCCAGCUUCAUGUCCUGACAGCAUUGUGUGCCAGGGGCUCACGGGAUAUUGUUUUCCUCUAAUAACUCAGACGACUGAUGAAAUACUUGGUGCCUUGCUCUGCCUAAGACUCUCCUCCAGAGAGCCUGUCUUCACGUGGCUGCCAGGGCCUUCAAUGCCGAGGCCCCUUCCUUGGGGACCAUCAACAUAUGGAACUUAUUUAUAAUUUAAAAGAACAACAGACUCCCCAACCCCCUUCCCCCCCUCCCCUGCCUCCCACCGCGGCUCCUGGCUGGGCGGCAAACACCAGGCUGUUGCUACCUCUGGGCUUUGUCAUCGUGUCCAGCCUGGAAAUUCUGCUGGGCCAUGUUCAGGGAGCAAGCCAAGGCCCUGGCCAGACCCAGGAAGCCCGUAGGCACCCCAGCCUUCCCCAUCUCUGCCCCCUGCUGCCCUCCUCCAACUCCUAGGCAAGCUGGCCCAUGCCACUCCCUUCUGUAGCAGCUGCCCUCUGCCUGCCUUGGCAGGGCUUUGGGAAAGAACACUGUGGCCCAAAUGUUUGGAUGUUUUGGACAAAAAUUAGAGGGGGUUCAGUCGAACAGUGGCUGCCAUCCCAGCAAGGCUGAAGCCUCCCUGAGUGAGAGGGUCUCAUCCUGCAGACGCCACCCCACCCAUGGCUCUCCUGCCCAGAGCCUGGACUUUCUAACUCCUGGAAUGCAUCAUUCGAUUUUGCCCUCAUUUGCAAGCCCAUUUUACAGGAGAAGAAACUGAGAUAGAGAGGCUGAGUAACUCGUUCAAAGUCCAGUGGUAUAGGCAGGACUUGACCGGAACUCUGACCCCAAGCCUGGCUCUUGUCUCCUCCAUAGACCUGCCCUGGCCAGGACUCCCUGGCCACCUUCUAAAGCUGCUUCACAGCUCGGGCAGGGGCGCCAGGAUCACUGACUUGCUCUCAACAUUGGCGACAAGGAUGCGCUUUUGCAGAUGUUGGUUUAUUCAUGGGGAAAUUUGAGUUCGGCUUGAGGGGGAAAGAGGAAGAGAGAGUUUAGAGCCACUGUGUCUAGUUCAGUCACCAACACACUUUUCUGUGGGCCUCUUCUGCCUCCAGAAGCCCCUCCCCAGCCGUGAUGUCACCAGCCAGCCUCUGCAGAUAAUAGCUCUGUGGUUGAUCAUCAGCCACCUGCUUUCUCACUGCCGGGGACAGCCAGAGCCCAGAGCAGGCCCCAUGAGGCUGGGCCGCGGCGCACCCGCCCCGUCGAUGCCCUUCCAGGCCUGUGAGCUUUUUGAGAUUGUUUGCAUUUUGGGAAAUGCCCGUUGUCUCUCCCAAGUCUGCAGAUAGCAGCAUCUCACCAUCCAGAGUUGGAGUUUCUAAACAGUCAGAUAACCUUGCUCACAGAGAAACAGCCUGAACACCAUUUACAGAUAGCGACACGAUUUAAUGAGAUAAAGCCUCGGGCAUCCAUGAAGCAAUUUACGUUACGAGCUGUGAUGAAAUGGCUGUUUUCUAAAUAGAUACCCAAAUGAACACAAUUCUGGGCUCUGAGAGCUUCAAAGGAACUUCUCAGCUCUAGCCUCUUAAAAUUUUGGGCAAAAUCUGAACACUUGUCAGUCUUACUACUACCACGAAAAUGAUGUGUUUUUGUAAAAUUAUGUGGAACCCAUCUGCCAAGGGAGAGAUGGCCCAGAUGCUUUUGGGGCUCCAAGCCAGCGUCUUCAGCCUUUUCUCACAUAAUGUGAACACCAAAUUCCAGGACCACUCUCUGGAGGGGAGAUUGCAGAGGGAUGGCUUGUCCUGGAGAGGUUGAAACGGUGGGAAAGGGGAUAGAGAGCAUGCUCUCACUCCAGUGCAGGUAGACUGUGGCAAGUGGGCGACUGAAAACUGAAAACUGGCCUAGUCCUUUAAAAGGAAAAAAUGUCAGCCAGGCGUGGUGGCUCAUGCCUGUAAUCCCAGCACUUUGGGAGGCCGAGGUGGGCGGAUCACCUGAGGUUGGGAGUUUGAGACCAGCCUGACCACCAUGGUGAAACCCCAUCUCUACUAAAAAAAAAAAUAAAUAAUACAAAAAUUAGCCAGGUGUGGUGGUGAGCACCUGUAAUCCCAGCUACUUGGGAAGCUGAAGCAGGAGAAUUGCUUGAACCUGGGAGGUGGA
ensembl:lincRNA